rnacentral:lncRNA from 1 species
GGUUUCCCCUCUCUGUUCCGAUGAAGAUGGUGGUGCCAGGAAGAGGAUUGCGGCUAUAUUACGAUUCCUGCUCUAUUUCUCAAUGAUCAACUCCGCUCUUCUCUUCUGCUGAUGAUUUAAGGUUUUGUUUGUAUUUCAAGAUAUGGUGAACAAUAGGGCUAAAUCCCCCAUCCUACAUGCUUUAUUUCUCCAGUAAUCUUGCUGUUCGAUUCAUGUAGAGAUUGGACUACGAGAGAAAGAUGUUAAGAUCAGGAUGUUGAUGUUGAGCCCUAAAUUAGUUCAUAAUUUUUCGAACAACCUACACCAGUGUCGUGAUUCCAGCAACCGGCCCUGUCUUCGCGUUGCGGAACCAGUUAGACAGCUUAUGGAUGCAGGUUGGUGUUGGUUAGGCCUUGGAAUUUGUCUUGGUGUCGGCAUUGGAGUUGGUCUUCUUGUUCGUACAUAUCAAUCUACCACCAGAAAUU